rnacentral:rRNA from 1 species
UACAGAGGUCCCGAGCGUUGUUCGGAUUCACUGGGCGUAAAGGGUGCGUAGGUGGCUGGAAAAGUUUGAUGUGAAAUCUCCGGGCUCAACCCGGAAAAGGCAUUGAAUACUGUCGAGCUGGAGGGUUGGAGGGGGGACUGGAAUUCUUGGUGUAGCAGUGAAAUGCGUAGAUAUCAAGAGGAACACCAGUGGCGAAGGCGAGUCCCUGGACAACACCUGACACUGAGGCACGAAAGCCGGGGGAGCAAACAGG